UGAUAGGUUGGGGGUGUAAGUGCAGCAAUGCAUUUAGCUGACCAAUACUAAUUAUCGAAGUUUUAAUCUAAGUUUGUUUUUACUAUAUAGUUUC
rnacentral:rRNA from 1 species